rnacentral:tRNA from 1 species
UGUUCUGUGGAUUAGUUGGUUAAAGCGCCAGUUUAGCGAAUAGUAAGUCGUGGGUUCGAAUCACACCAGAAUGA